CCUACGGGGGCUGCAGUGGGGAAUAUUGGACAAUGGGCGAAAGCCUGAUCCAGCCAUGCCGCGUGUGUGAAGAAGGCCUUCGGGUUGUAAAGCACUUUCAGUGGGGAAGAAAGCCUUGGGGCUAAUACCCUCGAGGAAGGACAUCACCCACAGAAGAAGCACCGGCUAACUCCGUGCCAGCAGCCGCGGUAAUACGGAGGGUGCGAGCGUUAAUCGGAAUUACUGGGCGUAAAGCGCGCGUAGGCGGUCUGAUAAGCCGGUUGUGAAAGCCCCGGGCUCAACCUGGGAACGGCAUCCGGAACUGUCAGGCUAGAGUGCAGGAGAGGAAGGUAGAAUUCCCUGUGUAGCGGUGAAAUGCGUAGAGAUCGGGAGGAAUACCAGUGGCGAAGGCGGUCUUCUGGACUGACACUGACGCUGAGGUGCGAAAGCGUGGGUAGCAAACAGGAUUAGAUACCCGAGUAGUC
rnacentral:rRNA from 1 species